ACACUUACCUGACACCAUGAUCAGGCAGGUGUUUUUCCCAGGGCGAGGCUCAUCCCCUGCACUCCGGGUGUGCUGACCCCUGCGAUUUCCCCAAAUGCGGGAAACUCGACUGCAUAAUUUGUGGUACGGGGGGACUGCGUUUGCGCUCUCCACUG
rnacentral:snRNA from 1 species